rnacentral:lncRNA from 1 species
AACCUUCUGGGUUCUUGUUUUCCAGGAGAAAGGGCUCACUUCAUCCGGCCAGGUGGAACUCGGUGACACAUGAUCCCACACAAGAAUACACCGACUUGAGUCUUAUUGAGGAUCCAUGCUGGAGUGGACUGGAGCUGAGGUCAGGAGCCUGUGCUGUCUCCAGAGGGUGCCUUGCUACCUUUACCCUGGUACAACGCACACAGCAUAACUUCUGUUCCUGGUUGCUGAUCUCUGGGUUUCUGAGAUUCCAGAGUGCUAUGCCUUGGUGUCUCUUUCUUUAUGCUUCGCUUGUCCAGGAGCACUGACCAGCUAAGCUCCUCGGUGCCACCAAGAAUAGCUGUUCAAACAGUCAUCCUUCAGGCACAGGAAAGCUUUAGUAAGGAGGAGAGUGCACAUCUAUCCAUGGCUGGUGAAUCUCCAAAUGAUUUCAAUUUAUGAUGCUAUUUUAAUACAGAAAAAUAAACGAAAACACGAGCACACUUGACAUUUGAAAUUAUGCUGAUUGGCUGGCAUAUUUUAAAACACAUCAAAUAAAGACAGGCAUCAAUGUUUGAC